GGGCCCGCACAAGCGGUGGAGUAUGUGGUUUAAUUCGAUGCAACGCGAAGAACCUUACCAGGGUUUGACAUCCUGCGAAUCUCUUGGAAACAGGAGAGUGCCUUCGGGAACGCAGUGACAGGUGGUGCAUGGCUGUCGUCAGCUCGUGUCGUGAGAUGUUGGGUUAAGUCCCGCAACGAGCGCAACCCACGUCUUUAGUUGCCAGCAUUUAGUUGGGCACUCUGAAAGAACUGCCAGUGAUAAGCUGGAGGAAGGUGGGGAUGACGUCAAGUCCUCAUGGCCCUUACGUGUUGGGCUACACACGUACUACAAUGCUACGGACAAAGGGCAGCAAGUUCGCGAGGACAAGCAAAUCCCAUAAACCGUGGCUCAGUUCAGAUCGUAGGCUGCAACUCGCCUACGUGAAGGCGGAAUCGCUAGUAAUCGC
rnacentral:rRNA from 1 species